UGAAUACGAGACGCUAAGGCGUCGAAGUAGUGUAUGUCAUACUUCCAAGAAAAGCUUGCACUGUCAUAGAUAAAAAACGCCUGUACCAUAACCGACACAGGUGGGUAGGUAGAGUAUACUAAGGGGCGCGAGAUAACUCUCUCUAAGGAACUCGGCAAAAUAACUCCGUAACUUCGGGAGAAGGAGUGCCUUAUUCGUAAGGUUGCAAUAACAAGAUCUAAGCAACUGUUUAUCAAAAACACAGGUCUCCGCUAAGUCGUAAGACGAUGUAUGGGGGCUGACGCCUGCCCAGUGCCAGAAGGUUAAAGAAGUUGGUUAGCAAUUGCGAAGCUGAUAACUGAAGCCCUGGUGAACGGCGGCCGUAACAAUAACGGUCCUAAGGUAGCGAAAUUCCUUGUCGGGUAAGUUCCGACCCGCACGAAAGGCGUAAUGAUUUGGAUACUGUCUCGGAGAGGGGCUCGGUGAAAUAGACUUGUCUGUGAAGAUGCGGACUACCUGCACCAGGACAGAAAGACCCUAUGAAGCUUUACUGUAACUUGAAAUUGAAAUUGGACUUUAUUCGCGCAGCAUAGGUGGGAGGCGUUGAUUAUAAUCUUGCGGGAUUAUUGGAGCCAUCAGUGAGAUACCACUCUUGUAAUGUUAGAUUUCUAACUUUGAAUCAUUAUCUGUCAAAGAACAGUUUCAGGCGGGCAGUUUGACUGGGGCGGUCGCCUCCUAAACGGUAACGGAGGCGUACAAAGGUUUCCUCUGAACGGUUAGAAAUCGUAUCUAGAGUGUAAAGGCAUAAGGAAGCUUGACUGUGAGACCUACAAGUCGAGCAGGGACGAAAGUCGGUCUUAGUGAUCUGACGGUACUGAGUGGAAAGGCCGUCACUCAACGGAUAAAAGUUACUCUAGGAUAACAGGCUGAUCUCCCCCAAGAGUUCACAUCGACGGGGAGGUUUGGCACCUCGAUGUCGGCUCAUCGCAUCCUGGGGCGGUAGUACGUCCCAAGGGUUGGGCUGUUCGCCCAUGAAAGCGGUACGCGAGCUGGGUUCAGAACGUCGUGAGACAGUUCGGUCCAUAUCCGGUGUAGGCGUUAGAAUAUUGAGAGGAGCCUUCUUUAGUACGAGAGGACCGAGAAGGACAUACCUCUGGUGUACCAGUUAUCGUGCCAACGGUAAACGCUGGGUAGCUAUGUAUGGAGUGGAUAACCGCUGAAAGCAUCUAAGUGGGAAGCCCACCUCAAGAUAAGUAUUCUCAU
rnacentral:rRNA from 1 species